UCAUCCUCUUCUUCUGUCCCAUCCAAUGAGUCAUCGUGUGCAGCCAUCAUAGCCUGCUGCAUGGCCAUGGUGGCAUUGUCUGAGGACAGGGACUGCAGGUUGUCCAAGUUGAUGGAACCUACGUGAGAGAGGAAGAAUGAAGAAACUGAAAGACUUCUCCAAUAUUUCCAGACGGUGGCACCAGCCUGGAACUCGGUCCUUCUGGCUUCCUCCCCUUACUUCAUGAUGUCCAUCCUUCACACAACAGUAAGACUGUCCUCCUUGCCUGCCCCAACCCUGAAAUGAAGGCCACCUGGACACCCCUGCUGUGAGCUCUGAGCACUCACCCUCCCUGGGAUUCCACACACCGUGGGGAUAAUUUGCUGCGUUGUGUCCCCGGAACCAGAGGCUGCGGGUUUGUAAGAAAAGGGACCACGGCCUUCUCUCUCCCAGCACCCCCCGAGCCACCCAUCAGGGCCGAGGAGCUGCCUGGCACAUAUUAAGUGCUCAAUGAGCACUUGUUGGAAGAAUGAAUGAUCAUAGGAAGCUAAGGGGUAACUGGUGCUCAUCACCAUUCCCUUCAUGUGCGUUUGUGGAUGGGAGGGGGUGGGGGCACAUGAGCAAUUGGAACCCCCAGAAAUUCUACAGAGAAUCAGGUACACAGGUUGGCUCUCUUGAGGUCCCAUUGAGGCAGCAUAAUGAGAGGUA